GGUGGCCCACGCGGGGGCACCCAGCGCAGCCUGGCAUCCGCUGGCGGGCGGGCCCCACGCGGCUCCUCCUCGCAGCGUGCGGAACUGCCCCGCGUGCCGCCCCCACUCCAGCCCCGGGAAGCCCCGAUUGCGGGCGGAGCGCGAGCCACCGCGGCGGGUGGAGCCUGCGGCCGCCGGAUCCCAGGGCCAAUCGCGCGGUGGCAGGGGAGGAGCCCCGGAGGGGGAAAAAGAAAGUGCGGCGGAAAGUAAGAGGCGAGUCGAGGAAGGCUGCUGGGAUCUGGGUCUCCUGGGCUCGGCUUGGACCAGGGCGCGGAAAGAGGCAGUGGCCGGCCACCCUGCACCCAUCCCGUCAUUGUCGCCGAGUCUGCUCGGCUGGCCCAGGAAGGAUGGGAUUUCUGUGGUUGAUGAGUCUGUGCUUCUUUGGGAUCCUGCAGAGUCAUGCCUCAGAACGCUGUGAUGACUGGGGACUAGAUACCAUGAGACAAAUCCAAGUAUUUGAAGAUGAGCCAGCUCGCAUCAAGUGUCCUCUCUUUGAACACUUCCUGAAGUACAACUACAGCACUGCCCAUUCCUCAGGCCUCACCUUGAUCUGGUACUGGACCAGGCAAGACCGGGACCUGGAAGAGCCCAUUAACUUCCGCCUCCCAGAGAAUCGCAUCAGCAAGGAGAAAGAUGUGCUCUGGUUCCGGCCCACCCUCCUCAACGACACAGGCAAUUACACCUGCAUGUUGAGGAACACAACAUACUGCAGCAAAGUUGCUUUUCCCCUGGAAGUUGUUCAGAAGGACAGCUGCUUCAAUUCUCCCAUGAGACUUCCCGUGCACAGACUGUACAUCGAACAUGGCAUUCAUAAGAUCCAGUGUCCAAAUGUAGAUGGAUACUUUCCUUCCAGUGUCAAACCAACUGUCACUUGGUAUAAGGGUUGCACUGAAGUAGUGAAUUUUCAUAACGUGUUACCAGAAGGCAUGAACUUGAGCUUUUUCAUCCCGUUGGUUUCAAAUAAUGGGAAUUACACGUGUGUUGUCACCUAUCCUGAAAACGGACGCCUCUUUCACCUGACCCGGACUGUGAGUGUAAAGGUGGUAGGCUCGCCAAAAGAUGCAUUACCGCCCAAGAUCUAUUCUCCAAAUGACCAUGUUGUCUAUGAGAAAGAACCAGGAGAGGAGCUUCUCAUCCCCUGUAAAGUCUAUUUCAGUUUUAUUAUGGACUCACACAAUGAGGUUUGGUGGACCAUUGAUGGAAAGAAGCCUGAUGAUGUCACUGUUGACAUAACUAUUAAUGAAAGUGUGAGUUAUUCGCCGACAGAAGAUGAAACAAGGACUCAGAUUCUGAGCAUCAAGAAAGUCACCCUUGAGGAUCUCAGGCGCAGCUAUGUCUGUCAUGCUCGAAAUACCAAAGGGGAAGCUGAGCGAGCAGCCAAGGUGAAGCAGAAAGUCAUACCGCCAAGGUACACAGUGGAACUCGCCUGCGGUUUUGGAGCCACAGUCUUUCUGGUGGUGGUUCUCAUCGUGGUCUACCAUGUUUACUGGCUGGAGAUGGUCCUCUUUUACCGGGCUCAUUUUGGAACAGAUGAAACUAUUCUUGAUGGAAAGGAGUAUGAUAUUUAUGUCUCCUAUGCAAGAAAUGCUGAAGAAGAGGAAUUUGUGUUACUGACACUCCGUGGAGUUUUGGAGAAUGAAUUUGGAUACAAGCUGUGCAUCUUCGACAGAGACAGCCUGCCUGGGGGAAAUACGGUGGAAGCGGUGUUUGAUUUCAUUCAGCGGAGCCGAAGGAUGAUCGUUGUCCUGAGCCCAGACUAUGUGACAGAAAAGAGCAUCAGCAUGCUGGAGUUCAAACUGGGUGUCAUGUGCCAGAACUCCAUUGCCACCAAGCUCAUUGUGGUAGAGUACCGCCCUCUCGAGCAGCCCCACCCAGGCAUCCUGCAGCUGAAGGAGUCUGUGUCUUUUGUUAGCUGGAAGGGAGAGAAGUCCAAACAUUCUGGCUCCAAGUUCUGGAAGGCCUUGCGUUUGGCUCUUCCCCUGAGAAGUCUGAGUGCCAGCUCCGGCUGGAAUGAGAGCUGUUCUUCUCAGUCUGACAUCAGUCUGGAUCACGUUCAGAGGAGAAGUCGUUUGAAAGAGCCCCCAGAACUCCAGAGCUCAGAGAGAGUGUCUGGAGCAGAGCCAGCACCGGGCACCAUAUCCAAGCACAGAGGAAAGCCCUCGGCAGCCUGUCGCUGCUGUGUCACCUACUGUGAAGGAGAAAGUCACCUCAGGAGCAAGAGCCGGGCAGAGAUGCACACCCAACCCCAAUGGGAAACACACCUCUGUAAGCCUGUUCUCCAAGAGUCCGAAAGUCAGUGGAUACCAAACCGCACCAGACCUGAACCCACUCCCCAGAUCUCAGCUCUUGCACUGCACCAUUUUACAGAUCUAUCCAAUAACAAUGACUUUUAUAUCCUAUAAUCACUAUGUGGAGGGCGGUGGCUGCUAUUUCUACCAACUCUCUUUGGGUCACAAACCUUUGGGAAUAACUGACAUUUUUUUUUUAUCAUCUAAUAGACGAUCACAUUUGUGUCCCCUUUAUUGAUUUUUUAAAAACUAUUUAUUUCUAGGAAACAAAAGACCUGAAGCACCCGUAUCCAGUUAUUGCCUCUAACGGCCUUGGAAGAGCACACUCUUCUCGGGCCCUAGAAGGCUCUGAUUUUCUCCAGCCAAGGAGGACCACAAAUCAUCCUUUAACAAAGGGUUUGCAGGCAAUAGCUGAAAAUGAAGGGCCUGUUUAACCCCUGGAAUUGUCUCAGCACAAGCAAACAAUUGACUAGAGUGGUUGGUAGAGUGUAUUUAUAACCUAUGUUCCAGCAGCCAUCUUCUCUAUUAGAGUAAGAUGAGUGAUGCUGGGCUAAUAUUUCAGUAACUUCCCAUCACCCAUCUUAAUUUUGCUGAUGCUAAAGGUCCAGCUGAAGGGCUGGCAGUUUUGUGUCCUUGCCAUGUGAAAUGUGUAGCUUGCAGUUGUCCUAUACUUGGGCUUAAACUGACACUCCUUAUUUUCUUUCCCUUAUAUUUUAUUAGCUAGAAGUAUUUCCAGUGUUCUUGAUACAGUCAUAAAGAAGGCCACAAAAUAUAUUCUAGUGCCACUGAGAAGGAAAAAUUACAUUGAACUUUAUGAACACGUGGCAUUGUCUUCUUCUACAAAUGAGAUGAAGAUGAGAUAAUUAGGUAGGCCAAUGAAGCAAGGAAGGACCUUCAGUCUUCUUUUUGUUACUUCAUGUAAUAAAACAAACGAAAGACUGUGAUGCUCUCAUCCAACCUCAGUGUGUCAAGAUAUCAAGAUGAAGCCCCACACAGAAAAGAAUAAAGCUUGCAAUAAGCUCCCCAUAUAUGAAAGUUGUUGACAUACUGCCUUGUAAUAAUUACACUUUCUGAUCAAGAGGAAGCAUGUUUUAAAAGUUGGAAGUUGCCAUAUUUGGUUGCUUUCCAUUUAGUGGCUUUAGUUAGUACUCUAAGAAUGUGAUGCUCAAACUGUCUCUAAAUGAGCCAUUUCAUUUUGGAAAUUCAGGGAGCCUCAGAAGAAUUGAAGGCAUUUAGAACACAGCAGAGCAUGUAACACGGUCAUUAGGAAGCAUCAUUGAUCCAUUUAUUUGAAGAGUUAAACAGGGAGCUCAAACCGAACAUGCUGAAAUGCAGAUGAAGGAGGAGACCAGUACCUAUGUGGGUGUCAUGGAGUCUGGGACAAUUGUCCUUGCGUUUUCUCUCUUUCUGAUUGAAUUCCAUUGCCAUGAAGUAUUUGAAUUUUUUUAUAUGACUUUUCUAAUGUAUACAGUAUUAUUUGGUAAUAAUUAAAAGCUUUCUUUAGUUUGGCAAAGAUUAAUAUUUCAGAUUCCUGAUACAUGAGAACAAGCUAAAGUAUUGAACAAAGAAGAAUUUUGUUUCUUGGUAUCAUGAGGAAAUUACUCACCAUUCAGAAUUCUUCUAAGAAUAGUUCACAUGGUUUUGCCUUGAAUAUUUCAACAUUUAAGCAUUCUAAAAUGUAAGGAAUUAGUUUCUGGAAGGUUUGCAUGGAUGGAAAGGUGAAAGUUUGCUAACAAUGUCUGCUAGCAGAUAAGGAGCUGUACUUCUCUGUCCCUGAAUGAUGCUUAUUCUAACACUCCCUCCACCAGAGGAUAAAGCAACUUUAAACUAUGUGUAGUGGAUCAUUCCUCCAGACCCAAUACCCUGGACACAAAAGCAAAAGGUUCAUACGUUGUAGACCAUUCCGUGUGACAGAAGGAAUUCUAGGCAAGCCUAGGAUAUAUAUUGAGACUAACCCCUCCAAAACGGAGGAAUAAAACAACACCUGAUUUUCAUUUAUUUAACUCACUGAUUUAUUUUAAAUUGUGACAGCUGGGUCACAGGCUUACUGUAUUCCAAAUCCAGGGGCAAGUCUGCCGGAGCAAGAAUUGAAUGUAGUUCUUUGAGGCCAGUUGCACGUACUUGUGGUGUGCCACAGACAACCAAAUCUCCUUCAAAUGACUUAGCUCUUUGAUCUUGCUAAGGAUGACCAGCUGCUUUAAGGACCUUGAAAAGUGCUUGAACAGGAGUCAAUGAAAAUUCAGUAGUGAUAUCUUGUAUAUAAGAAAUGAAAGGAUAAAACAAAUACUAACAGUAUAGACAAUGUUCUUCAUCCUUAAACUAAAAUUUGGAACUCAUAGCCAAAUGCUGGAACUGGCUUAUUUGUUCAAAGGAUAAAGAAAUUUUUUAUCCUUUCUGGUUCUUUACUUUCAUAUUGUUUGCAUUCUGAUUAUGAGGUAAUGAUAAAUGAACAAUAAAAAACAUAAAAUUACAGAAGUAAAUAGAGUUGGAUAACCAAAGAAGACAAUAGUCUUAGUGUUUAUUAUUUUCAUAUGCUCAGUCCCCUAAAGCAGGGAAGAGUACGUUAAAACCAGCCACUUGGUUACUGGCAAAUUUUAUUAAAUAACACCUAAGAAGAAACUGAAGAAAACGCUGAGGACAAUCAAGCCCUAUUUCCCUAUUUCUAAGUACCAGGAUCAAGGAAAACAUAUGUAAAAUGCCCGUGGUAUCCACUAAAGUAAGAUGUUGGGUGACUUUCAGGGAUCAUGGAAUAAAGUUAGACAGUCAUUACCAUUGUAAGUUUCAUAUUGAAUAAAAUAUUACUUUGGAGUCAGGACAUAUGCUUUGGGAUUCCAAUUAUUAUAGUGACUGUGCAUUUCACUCGCACAUGUUGGCUCUCAAAUUCUCACUUUCUUCAUGUUAAGGGGAAAUAAUAUCUACCUCAUUGAAUUGUUGUAAGGGUAAAAUUAUACAAUAAAU